rnacentral:rRNA from 1 species
UACGUAGGGACCGAGCGUUGUCCGGAUUCAUUGGGCGUAAAGAGCUCGUAGGCGGCUGCUCAAGUCGAAUGUGAAACUCGAGGCUACAACCCUCGAGCCUGGCAUUCGAAUACUGGUCGAGCUCGAAGGCAGGAAGAGGGAAGCGGAAUUCCCGGUGUAGUGGUGAAAUGCGUAGAUAUCGGGAGGAACACCAGUGGCGAAGGCGGAGCUUCCGUGGUCCCUGGUUCCUUGACGCCUGAGGCUGCG